rnacentral:rRNA from 1 species
AGCGAACGCUGGCGGCAGGCCUAACACAUGCAAGUCGAGCGGCCGUAGCAAUACGGCAGCGGCAGACGGGAGAGUAACACGUGGGAACGUACCUUUCAGUUCGGAACAACCCAGGGAAACUUGGGCUAAUACCGGAUACGCCCGUAAGGGGAAAGAUUUAUCGCUGAAAGAUCGGCCCGCGUCUGAUUAGCUAGUUGGUGAGGUAACGCCUCACCAAGGCGACGAUCAGUAGCUGGCUGAGAGGAUGAUCAGCCUCAUUGGGACUGAGACACGGCCCAAACUCCUACGGGAGGCAGCAGUGGGGAAUAUUGGACAAUGGGCGCAAGCCUGAUCCAGCCAUGCCGCGUGGGUGAUGAAGGCCCUAGGGUUGUAAAGCCCUUUCGGCGGGAAGAUAAUGACUGUACCGGGAGAAUAAGCCCCGGCUAACUUCGUGCCAGCCGCCGCGGUAAG